UUUUCCCAACUAGUCUAGCAGAAAGACUAGACAUGCUGGAUGCUAAGAGGUGCAAUAUUACCAGCUGCUCCAGUUUCCUGUUGCCUUGACUUCUUCCCAGCCAUGAUAGACUAGACCUGCAAACGCAAAAGAGGAAGUAGAGAUCUUAGAGACUGUAACCAGAAGAGAAUGAUGUCUUCAAGGGUUCCUUGGGGUAAACUAUAGUCAGCCAUCUAGGAUCCACGUUCCAAUGGUUCUACAGUUUUCUAAAGCAAUGCUAACAUUUAUGGAC
rnacentral:lncRNA from 1 species